AAGAAGGACGUAUGCUAUCCCAGUUUUAUAGUGUAUAGACAUGACCUAAACUUUGGUAUAUAUAGCUUUGUGUGAAAAGCUGUAUAUAGAUAUAUUUGAAGAUAUUCUCAGAAAAGCUGGGCAAUUGACAUACUUAAAUCUUGUUGAGUAUAAAUUGUAUUAUUGGUUUUCCUAGUGUAAGAGUAUCAUACAGUUUAACUAUGGACUUUCUGGGUUAUGUUUGUCAUUGGUGUUGAAAAGGAUUAGAAGUUACUCGUUCUUGGUGCAUUUUGAUAGAAUAUGCAUAAUUAAUUAAUUGCACAAAGAUGAGGCUACGGGUGUUUCUUAAAUUUCAUCUUCCAUUGACUAUAUUUUCAGAAUGUACAAAAAAGAAGUGUAUUUAUUUCAACGGGACAUGGCAAAUAGGUUGCAGCCUUGCAAUCUCAAUCUUCUCCUAGCUGUCCUUACUUUAAGAAGAAAAGGAAAACAUUUGGUGCUCAAAUUACUUUUAGGUUACAUGUAGAAGAAAUUAGAGUUUUUAUGGAAUUUUUUAGCAAAUCAUAUUUGGUUCAAUUAGAAGAUAAUGAAAAUACUUUCUAAAAUGAUGAAAAGUGAUCUCAUGUGCAAGUACUAUGAAAUUUUAAGAAUGUAUCCCAAUUUCAUCAAUUUUGAUAGAAUUCAU
rnacentral:lncRNA from 1 species